UACGGCGGUCAUAGCGCGGGGGAAACGCCCGGUCCCAUUCCGAACCCGGAAGCUAAGACCCGCAGCGCCGAUGGUACUGCACCCGGGAGGGUGUGGGAGAGUAGGUCACCGCCGGAC
rfam:Arthrobacter crystallopoietes BAB-32 contig28, whole genome shotgun sequence.